rnacentral:rRNA from 1 species
AACGAACGCUAGCGGGAUGCCUCAAACAUGCAAGUCGUACGCGAAAGUCUUCGGAUGAGUAGAGUGGCGCACGGGUGAGUAACACGUAGCUAACAUACCCUUUCGCUGGGGAUAACUCCGGGAAACCGGAGCUAAUACCGAAUGAUCUGACAAGAUCUGCGGAUUUUGUCGGUAAAGCCGUAAGGCGCGAAGGGAUUGGGCUGCGGUCUAUUAGCUAGUUGGUGAGGUAAAGGCUCACCAAGGCUACGAUAGAUAGCUGGUCUGAGAGGAUGAUCAGCCACACUGGAACUGAAACACGGUCCAGACUCCCACGGGAGGCAGCAGUUGGGAAUUUUGGACAAUGGGGGAAACCCUGAUCCAGCAAUCCCGCGUGAGUGAUGAAGGCCUUCGGUCGUAAGCUCUUUAGUCAGAGAAGAAGGGAAACGUUAGACUGUAUCUGCAGAAUAAGACACCGGCUAACUCCGUGCCAGCAGCCGCGUAAAGUAGUGACUGU